rnacentral:rRNA from 1 species
GGUUCCACCCCUGCAUGCCUUAACAUGCAGUCGACGAUGAAGCCGCUUCGGUGGUGGAUUAGUGGCGAACGGGUGAGUAACACGUGGGCAAUCUGCCCUUCACUCUGGGACAAGCCCUGGAAACGGGGUCUAAUACCGGAUAACACUCUGUCCCGCAUGGGACGGGGUUAAAAGCUCCGGCGGUGAAGGAUGAGCCCGCGGCCUAUCAGCUUGUUGGUGGGGUAAUGGCCUACCAAGGCGACGACGGGUAGCCGGCCUGAGAGGGCGACCGGCCACACUGGGACUGAGACACGGCCCAGACUCCUACGGGAGGCAGCAGUGGGGAAUAUUGCACAAUGGGCGAAAGCCUGAUGCAGCGACGCCGCGUGAGGGAUGACGGCCUUCGGGUUGUAAACCUCUUUCAGCAGGGAAGAAGCGAAAGUGACGGUACCUGCAGAAGAAGCGCCGGCUAACUACGUGCCAGCAGCCGCGGUAAUACGUAGGGCGCAAGCGUUGUCCGGAAUUAUUGGGCGUAAAGAGCUCGUAGGCGGCUUGUCACGUCGGAUGUGAAAGCCCGGGGCUUAACCCCGGGUCUGCAUUCGAUACGGGCUAGCUAGAGUGUGGUAGGGGAGAUCGGAAUUCCUGGUGUAGCGGUGAAAUGCGCAGAUAUCAGGAGGAACACCGGUGGCGAAGGCGGAUCUCUGGGCCAUUACUGACGCUGAGGAGCGAAAGCGUGGGGAGCGAACAGGAUUAGAUACCCUGGUAGUCCACGCCGUAAACGUUGGGAACUAGGUGUUGGCGACAUUCCACGUCGUCGGUGCCGCAGCUAACGCAUUAAGUUCCCCGCCUGGGGAGUACGGCCGCAAGGCUAAAACUCAAAGGAAUUGACGGGGCCCGCACAAGCAGCGGAGCAUGUGGCUUAAUUCGACGCAACGCGAGAACCUUACUAAGGCUUGACAUAUACCGGAAAGCAUCAGAGAUGGUGCCCCCUUGUGGUCGGUAUACAGUUGGUGCAUUGCUGUCGUCAGCUCGGUCGUGGAUGUGGUAGUUCCUGCACCGAGCGCAACCCAUCGUCUGUGUGCAGCAUGCCUCGGGUGAUGAGAC